rnacentral:ncRNA from 1 species
CGUACGAAAGGGCAGCACCAUUGAAAGAUGGUUACGCAAAACUAUAGGGGCUAAGGUCUAUGGACUAUGCUUGCCAGUUACCGAA